rnacentral:misc_RNA from 1 species
AAAUGAGAAUCGGUUCGCGCUGCGUGGGGUAAAAUCCUCGUAGCGCGUUACCGUCAACCUCUACCCUUGUAUAUUAUUCAAUUGUUGCUUUGGUGGGCCGCGACCCUCACGGGGAGCACCGGCUUCGGCUGGAGAGCGCCUGCCAGAGGACCCCAACUCUGUAUUAUAUGAAGUCUGAGUACUAUUAAAUAGUUA